rnacentral:misc_RNA from 1 species
GACUCGUAUAGAGUAGGUUGCGUUCCUUUGUUUACUUCGUUUCGUCGUCGUCACGUGUCCUCAUAUUCAUAGAAGCCGUUCAAGAUUGUUUUUUGCUAUCCCUCUUUUUCGUUUUGACAACAACCGCCCUGUCAACAGAAGACAACGCUGAUGGAUUUUUUUCCGGGUCAACAAAAAGCUGCCCGGAAUAUUAUCGCAAUGACGUCCGUGUUCCUUGCUUUUUCUUGGGAGAAAAAUGCUAUUGUUUCUCAACACAAAUGUUUCUGAUGGCGUGGAAUGACGCUAAAUAUUAUUGUCGACUUAACAAUUAUACUUUGAUAAGUCUGGAGACAAAAACGGAAGAUGAUCUGAUACAUCAACAUAUCGAAACCACCGAAUUACUUUCCGAGCUGCCAUGGUUUUGGACUUCAGGAACAUACAGUGAGGAUCAGUGGAAAUGGUCUACAAGCCCCCUUCCUGGUGAACCUUUUAGUUAUUCAAAUUGGGCCUCAACAAGGCCAAUUUACAACAUGAAUGGUUACUGCACUGAAAUCAAUUACAGCACUUUUCAAGGUGCAUGGGUGGACUUUCCUUGCGAUUUUACAAAUUAUUUUAUAUGCGAAGGAAAUUCAACUUUUAUUUAAUUGAUCUUUGAAAAAUGAAAAGCGCAGUCAAGCAAUGCAAUGUGUGACCAUACAUAAAUAGUGUAGCGAUAGUUCAUUAAUUUCGGAUUCAAGGUUGAUGGGCGCAUUUGCGUUGUAAAAUAAAUAGUUCAAAUAUAUUUUUGAACCAGAAA